CUUCUGGUUCAGCGCCAUUCAAGCAAUCGGAAACUGCCAAAACUUCAGAUUUCACUGCUUUUUCCAAUGCUCAUAAUAUUAUCAUAGG
rnacentral:sRNA from 1 species